rnacentral:rRNA from 1 species
CACGUAGGAGGCAAGCGUUAUUCGGAUUUACUGGGCGUAAAGCGCGUGCAGGCGGUUUGGAAAGUUGGAUGUGAAAGCUCCUGGCUCAACUGGGAGAGGUCGUUCAAAACUUCCAGACUUGAGAGUGGUAGAGGGAGGUGGAAUUCCGGGUGUAGUGGUGAAAUGCGUAGAUAUCCGGAGGAACACCAGUGGCGAAAGCGGCCUCCUGGACCAAUUCUGACGCUCAGACGCGAAAGCUAGGGUAGCAAACGGG